UUUCUCCAGCUGUAAAGUAGCGAGCGAUGAGAACAGUAACGACCCCAGUGGUGAGAUGAGGGUCCGGAGGGGAACACUGAAGACACAGCUUGGUGUGGGGUCAUGCUGAAGAAAGAGAUAGCAUCACUGAGGCAAAGUGUUUCCUGGGGUUAAGUGUCUGUCCCAAAUGUGUCUGAGCAUUUGAAGGGUUAAUCUCAGGGGAGGGGAGGGGAGGGACGUCCAGUGUUUGGGGCAGGGCAGCCGUCCUUCCAAGGGUGGCCACCAGAGGGAGCAGCUGGACCUACGCUGGCCCCCGCAAAGCCUUGGUGACAGCACCCACCACACCCUCCAGGAGCCUGGGGAGGGGGCUGGCUGGGAGUGGCCAGGACGUCCCCCGGCCCCAGUAUGCUCCUCCCACCCCCUCCUCCUGUCUGCAGAGCCAUCAGUCCCCACCCCAGUGACAUCCUCCUUGGGCUCCCGGGAAAUAGGGCUGAGUGGGCAAUCUGGGGAGGGGGCUCGCUGGGAGUGGCCAGGGUGGCUCCAGCCCUGGGUGGCCCCGCCCCCUCCCAAAGAGCCAUUCAGUCCCCCAGGGCUGCUCUUCCUAUGGCCUCUGACCCCCUCCUCCUUCCUACCCCACUCUGCCUGGCACAUCCUGGGCCCAGCACGUCUCUUUCCCAAAUCUUCAGGGAGAAGGGGCGUGGGAGGAGGCAGAGACAGUACUGGGCUCUGGAAAGAGGGGGCAGGGAGCUGAGAAAUAGACACCAGGCAGAGGGACACACACACACACACACACACACACACACACACACACACACACACACCAACAGAGACCUAAAGAGACAGGGAAACAGAAACAAAGAUAGCCAGAAAGAGGGACCAAGAUUGAGAGGGGGAAGCAGACUAACGGAGAGGGAGAGGCAGCAAGACAGGGAGCGAGAAAGGCAGAAAAUCAAAGAGGAAGAGGGGCAACAACGGGCUGGGAGAGCUGGGAGCCGGGCAGCGCUCCCUGGGGCGGGGUGCAGGGCCGCUGGGCACGGGAGAUGUAGCACCCCAGCCAAACUGGGUCCGAGAGAAGUGGCGGAGGGGGCAAAGGUCCAGGGCAGGGGGCAUGGCAGGGACAGGGACUCUGCUGCUGCGGCUGCUGCUCCUGGCCGGGGCAGGGGUGGGGGUGGCCUGGAGACCCCCAAAGGGAAAGUGUCCUCUACGCUGCUCCUGCUCCAAGGACAGCGCCCUGUGUGAGGGCUCCCUGGACCUGCCCGAGAGCUUCUCCCCGACGCUGCUGUCGCUCUCACUUGUCAGGACUGGAGUCACCCAGCUGAAGGCCGGCAGCUUUCUGAGGAUGCCAUCCCUGCACCUGCUCCUCUUCACGUCCAACUCCUUCUCCGUGAUUGAAGAUGACGCGUUUGCUGGCCUGUCCCACCUGCAGUACCUCUUCAUCGAGGACAACAAGAUUGGCUCCAUCUCUAAGAACGCGCUCAGAGGACUUCGCUCGCUCACACACCUAAGCCUGGCCAAUAACCACCUCGAGGCCCUCCCCAGGUUCCUGUUCCGAGGCCUGGAGACCCUGACUCACGUGGACCUCCGUGGGAACCCGUUCCAGUGUGACUGCCGUGUCCUCUGGCUGCUGCAGUGGAUGCCCACCGUGAACGCCAGCGUGGGGACCGGGGACUGUGCGGGCCCAGCCGCCCUGACCCACAUGCAGCUCCGCCACCUGGACCCCAAGAUGUUCAAGUGCAGAGGAAUAGAGCUGUCCUGGUUCCAGACAGUCCGGGAGUCGGCCCUGGGUGUUGAGCCCUUCUCCUACCAGGGGGAGCCCCACAUCGUCCUGGCACAGCCCUUCGCAGGCCGCUGCCUGAUCCUCACCUGGGACUACAGCCUGCAGCGCUUCCGGCCAGAGGAGGAGCUGUCAGCGCCCUCGGUGGUGUCCUGCAAGCCGCUGGUGCUGGGCCCACGCCUCCUCGUGCUGGCCGCCCGCCUGUGGGGAGGCUCCCAGCUAUGGGCAAGGCCCAGCCCCGACCUGCGCCUGGCCCCGCUGCAGGCCCUGGCCCCACGGCGGCUUCUGAGGCCCAACGACGCUGAGAUCCUGUGGCUGGACGAGCAGCCCUGCUUUGUGGUGGCCGAUGCCUCCAAGGCGGGCAGCACCACACUGCUCUGUCGCGACGGGCCUGGCUUCUACCCCCGCCAGAGCCUGCAUGCCUGGCACCGGGACACGGAUGCCGAGGUCCUGGAGCUGGACGGCCGCCCCCACUUGCUGCUGGCCUCUGCCUCCCAGCGCCCAGUGCUCUUCCACUGGGUUGGUGGCCGCUUUGAGAGGCGCACGGACAUCCCUGAGGCCGAGGACGUCUAUGCCACACGCCACUUCCAGGCUGGUGGGGAUGUGUUCCUGUGCCUGACACGCUACAUCGGGGACUCCAUGGUCAUGCGCUGGGAUGGGUCCAUGUUCCGCCUGCUGCAGAAACUUCCCUCACGAGGCGCCCAUGUAUUCCAGCCGCUGCUCAUCGCCAGGGACCAGCUGGCCAUCCUGGGGAGUGACUUUGCCUUCAGCCAGGUCUUUCGCCUUGAGUCAGAUAAAGGGCUCUUGGAGCCACUGCAGGAGCUGGGGCCCCCGGCCUUGGUGGCCCCCCGCGCCUUUGCCCACAUCACCUUAGCCGGCAGACGCUUCCUAUUUGCAGCUUGUUUCAAGGGCCCCACACAGAUCUACCAGCAUCAUGAGCUGGACCUCAGUGCCUGAGACUGGACAGGACCUUAGACGUGGCUGGGGGUUGGCAUGGGGAGCCUGUGAGUCUGGAUCCCCUCUUACCUGGCCUCCUGGCCCUAGCCAGGCUGUGAGAUACUGACCGCAGGCCAAGUUCACCAGCCACAGGUCCAGGCUUUAGCCCACCUCUUCGAGGAUCUGAGCCGACUGGGGUAAGGGGAAGGUCACAGCUGCUGGACCUUCUGAGCUGACCUUCCAGCAUGGCACAGCCUCCCAGGUAACUUGGGAGCUCAGGCUGGGAGCCGGAAUACAGAAUCAAGGUGGGGAGAUGUGUAGAGUUUCGGUUAUAUCUAGAGGUUAUCAGCUAGAUGUCUUCCCACCUACCUGCUCCCUAGGAAAGUUAAAGUGAGAGCCUAUCUUUCCCCUUCAAACUCAGUCUGGCCAAUCGCAUUAAUGGGGAAGUGCCCGCCUCCAUGACGUCACAGUCGCAGGGUAGUUUUCCCUGCCGGAUGGUAAUUCCCUCUGCUGCUUGUGCGCAUGUCUGCUGCCAGAAGCUGUUCCCCGGCGUUUCCUCCCUCUUGCGCGUGCGCGUGCUUGGGUGGCAGACACAUGGCUAACCCAGGCCUCCGCAGAAACAGAGGACUUUUCUCAUCAAGACGACAGAUGGCUUCUGCUCCCAGGGCCGUUUCCCCCACACCAGCCGCGCUCAGAGUCCACCCUCCUGACUCUGCAGCACGCACUGCCCACCUGUCGCCAAGCUGGCUCACCAUUCCCCUGCAGAGAGACUCCCUGCCAUCAGCUUGAACACGCUUCAUAUAAAAUGCCACUUUACACCCCUGCCCGAAUGGACUCCUGGUCUUGCCCAACACAACGGGCAGAAAGAAAUGCAAUGAAAGCAAAGAGCAAGGGUCUCCUUCUGGCUAAAAGCACUGUGCUGCCUCCUGUCUGGGCCUGAAUGUUGUGAAAGGGAGAUUAAUCAUUUUUAAUUAUAUUUACAGGGCUGGGGAUAUAGCUCAGCGGCACAGCGCC